UGUGAGGCGGAAUGAGGCAAUGUCUAUUUCACAGCACAUGAAGGGAAAGAAGUUACUCUAACAUGUCGCCCCCUACCUUCCAAUGUCUAGUGUAAAUCAACCCCAAGGUGUCUGAAAAGGGAGAGAUUAUUGAUGACCAUGUGUAAAGAUCAGCCCAAUUUCUAGGUCUGGAUCUAUAACUGUAACAGCUAUUUAACUGUGACAUUGUAUAACCUCUAUUGCUGGCUGAACUCCCACUACACAUCGGAGCACAUUUCAGAUAUCAUUAUGACGAAAAUAUAUGUAGAGGCGGAGCUACAGAAAGAGAUGUUGUUCCACUGGGGCCACCUGGAAGUGGGGAUGCCUGAUAUCCGACUUGUAUCUUAGGGUAGACUUCUGGGAAAAUCAAUGAGCCAAUCGCACAAGCAGAAAAUUAUGUUUCUAGGGGAUGUUC